rnacentral:rRNA from 1 species
AUGGGGCUCUUCUCCGGCAGCAACAGCAAGUCGAAGGGCAAGGCCCCCGUCGUCCCCUUCCCCGCAGAGUUCACCCCGCCUCCGCCUGCACCGGCUCGCCGGCAGAGGCAGCGGAUGAACGUGCCCGUGCACCAGGCGGAGUGGCACUGGCGCCACCGCGUGCCGCUGCCGUACCCCGACGUGACGCUGCCACACGAUUGGCAUCUAGAUCCGGAAAGGAUCCCAGUGCCGGCGGCGCCGCGGUCGGCUAGGGCGCAUGCAGAGGAGGUGCAUCGUCGGCGGGCGCUCCCGACGCUGGAGCAGUGCCGCGACGAGGCGCACGCCUUCGACUUGCCCAACUGGGCGCGCUGGGAGGAAGUCCAGGCGGCCCUUGCGGCUGUUUACCGGGAGAGCGAGGAGGACGAGCGGCGCAGGGCGAAGGUGGCAGAAGAAGAAGAAGCUGGGUACGAGGCGGCCAUGACCCUCUCCGCGGCCAGCGACUGCGUGGUGCCUCCGGUGGCCCCGCUGUCCCCUCCCCGACGCCUCGUCAAGGCCGACCUGGAGCCGCAGACGUAG